AUGGGCAGCAGUGAAUCGGUCUGGUCCAAAGGAGGAGGCUGCAGGAGGACAGGAGGCACCAGAUGUGAAAGACUUAAGACUUUGGGGAAUGGGCUCCAGUCUUUGCCAAAGGCAGAGGGCCUGCCUUUCUGGCUCAAAUGGCAAUGCGGUGGAGGCAUGGGGGAUGCCCCCAAACGCCAAUUGCCCGAACCUGUAUUCCUAGGCUUUCCCACCAUUAGGGAUGGAGUCCAACCCCAUAUAGCAUUACUCAUUGUCCAUUUGUUUGGUAAGCAACGUCCAGUCUUGACCAAAAGGGGGGGUGUCAACGUGGAAUGGAGGAACCCCAAGCUUGUGGCCUGGGGGGAUCUGGUGAGCCCCAAGUUUCAGGACUAGCUUGUAGGUUGAAACCCCAAAGCUUGUCCUUGUUCCCUGUUCCCAUGAGAAUCCACCCUGAAGGGAAUUCCAGGCUGAUUCAGACUGAGUGGGAGACCCUCUGGGGAAUGACAGUCCUACUUGGGUGAGAUACACCUGUGCCAAGGGCCCUCUUGGUCUCCCCUAUUGUAUCAGACCUUUCCCCAAGAAGAUCCACACCUGGGCAGGGACCAGCCUUCAGUAUCCAUAGUAAGCAGCCCCUUCUCUUACACCCCAGCCUCUUGAUCUUAUCCUGUCAGUGUAGUUUGAACCCUCCCAUUCCCUUUGUAGCCACAGUGAUGUCAGUCAUCUUUCCCUGCCCCUGGACACCCCAAAUGGUAUAGAGGAACCCCAAAUUCUCUUGUUCCCUGGAGUCCAUCUAGCCCGGUGGCCCUCCCAGGGGUCAGUGACCAGAGCAACCAGAGUUCAACGCGGACUCUGUGCAGUCUCGUGUGGAGAGCAGCUCUGUUGUGGAGGCCUUUUAGCGCUGAACCCCUUUUGCCCUUGAUUAAAGAGUGAUUUUGACUAUUUAAUAGUUCUGUGUUUUUUCCAGUUAACAGAAUCAAUACUGUGCAUUGGUUCCAAGGCAGAAAAGUGGUAAGGGCUAGGCAAAGGGGUCAAGUGACUUGCCCAGGGUCACCCAGCUGGAAGUGUCUGAGGCCACAUUUGAACCCAGGCCCUCCCACCUCUAGGCCUGGCUCUCCAUCCACUGAGCUACCCAGCUGCCCCCUCUCCUCAGUCUUUUAGAAACAGAGGACAGCCUUCCCUUUCUCCUUCUCUCUCCAUGCCUUGACGGACCAACUCGGUCUUUAAGGUGUCUUCAGUCUUGUACAACUGGGGGUAGCUUUGAACUCCAGGCGGAGUAGGUGCGCUUACUCGGACGCCUCCGAGCGCAAUUCCAUCCGUAGGCUUUCCGGGGAGUCCGCGCAUGCUCGGACCAGUCCUUCGGCUUUUCUCUCAGCACCUCCUGCAUCUUUCCCAU
rnacentral:lncRNA from 1 species